rnacentral:rRNA from 1 species
CCAUACGUCCUACGGGAGAAAGGGGGCUCGGCUCCCGCUAUCGGAUGAGCCUAUGUCGGAUUAGCUAGUUGGUGAGGUAAAGGCUCACCAAGGCAACGAUCCGUAGCUGGUCUGAGAGGAUGAUCAGCCACAUCGGGACUGAGACACGGCCCGAACUCCUACGGGAGGCAGCAGUGGGGAAUAUUGGACAAUGGGGGCAACCCUGAUCCAGCCAUGCCGCGUGUGUGAAGAAGGCCCUCGGGUUGUAAAGCACUUUCAGCGAGGAAGAACGCCUAGCGGUUAAUACCCGCUAGGAAAGACAUCACUCGCAGAAGAAGCACCGGCUAACUCCGUGCCAGCAGCCGCGGUAAUACGGAGGGUGCAAGCGUUAAUCGGAAUUACUGGGCGUAAAGCGCGCGUAGGUGGCUUGAUAAGCCGGUUGUGAAAGCCCCGGGCUCACCCUGGGAACGGCAUCCGGAACUGUCAAGCUAGAGUGCAGGAGAGGAAGGUAGAAUUCCCGG